rnacentral:misc_RNA from 1 species
GAUGAAGAACGCAGCGAAAUGCGAUAAGUAAUGUGAAUUGCAGAAUUCAGUGAAUCAUCGAAUCUUUGAACGCACAUUGCGCCCCUUGGUAUUCCGGGGGGCAUGCCUGUUCGAGCGUCAUUAUAACCCCUCAAGCUCAGCUUGGUGUUGGGGCCUGCCGACUGGCAGCCCUUAAAAUCAGUGGCGGCGCCAUCUGGCUCUAAGCGUAGUAAUUUCUCUCGCUAUAGAGUCCCGGUGGAUGCUUGCCAGCAACCCCCAACUUUCUAUGGUUGACCUCGGAUCAGGUAGGACUACCCGCUGAACUUAAGCAUAUCAAUAAGCGGAGGA